CCAGUUAAACUGUGUGCAUGUGUAUCCCAGUACAUACCGUAAUAGCAUGUCCUUACAAGAAAUAGUACUUGAAUGUGUAAGCAAAACCAAAGUCAAACUCAGGCAGCUCAGGAUGUCCAGACAACACAUGUAACUUGGUUGCUACUGUUUAUGCAGACUCACUCUGGGUCUUGUGCAAGCCCCAGACAACUAGGAACUUAAUCUGUUAAAGCAUUUUUAUGGCUUCUGUGCCUGAUGUUGCUGUUAAGUUGCACAAAGCUAAAACCUGUGGAAUUAAGAUCAUUCAGAAAAUUGGAAGGGAAACGGGAAGGAUCUAACUGAGCAUGGGAUCUUUAGAUGACUCCAGUGCUUUAGGAAUUGCUGCAGUCAGCUGCCUUUGUCAUCCCUGCAUCUUGUCAGCCUGCUUCUGGUCUGAUUCAUCAGAGAUUUAUUACAUUUUUGGUGAUAGUUGAAUGCAUGGAGCUUUGACUUGGGACAGGUGACGGUCUAGGACAGAUACUUCCAAAUGAGUAAACGUUCAAGCUUCUAUAUAUAGGUAGAAAUGAUUAGCUGGACAAAUAAGGACUGUAAGGCAGGACAUUCCCUGAAAUAAACUGAAGGCAGUGGUAGAGCACUGGCUUGUCACUGGCUUCUGUUCAGCUAUGGCAAAAUAAUGCUUCCUACAGUGACCUAGGGGAAAAAUAAUACAGCCUGCAGGUUGUUCAGAAUGUUUUUUGCUAUAUUUCUGUAGUCACAGUUGGAGCACUGAACUCAGAUCUGAUCUGCACAGGCAGAUGGGUUAAAAACAAGACCAAGAGACUGAAGGUGUAGUACAGAGGUCUCAGAUAUGACUGUCAAGAAGAGAUAUUGAAUAAGAGGAGUGUCUUAGAACUACAGAGAAUUGAGAAAGUGUCAUAUAUCUGUUUUCAUGUCUUUGCAUAUGUAAUCAUUUUCCAGAGUUUGUAGAUAAUAUAAAUAAGCUUUAGUUGCAAGGGAGAUCAAAUUAUAUGGAGGCCAAGUGAGGGAUUUUGAGAACAGUCAUGAGUUGGGUUUAUUUAUUUAAAUAUAGGGUUUAUAAUAUAUACAUUAACCUUAAUCAUGGGGAUUCUCCAGCCUACAAGCAGUUCACUUGUGGAUGCUGUUGAUCUUGCUUUGGUGUGGGGGGGGUAGGGUAGCGCAGGAGGCACUAGCUUGAAGACACCUUUAUAAGGGAGACCAGAAUAUUUUAAGAUGGUAAGAGAGGCUAAACUGGAUUAGGAAGACAGUUUCUUCUGAAUUACUGUUACAGUGGUUGAUGGAUGAUCAUAGGCUUUUCUCAAGUUAGUCCUCUUUUUAUCUUUUUCCUGAACUAAUUCUUGAUUGUUGCGUUCUGCCUGUGUAGUUACUUAUCUAGAAUGAUAGUGUGUAGUACUGGAAGAAUUGUGUCCUCUGCUUGAUUGGCCAGGCUCUGCAGAAGUCUAAAUAACAAACAUUAGAGUUUUUAUUGGUGACUGAUAUAAUUUUAGAUUCCCUGGGUCAUACCUGACAUACCAAGUAUGCUUGUGUACUACUGAGUUAUUUACACUGGUCUAGUAAGAGCUGUCUCUAUUCUACUGCCUUUUAUAGAUCAAUU